AGGAGGCAAAGUGUUGAUGGAAGUUAAGGGUUGUGGGAAGGUUGGAGUGUACUCUUCGGUUAAACCGAAGGGGUGUGUUGUGGAUUCGUGUCCGGUUGAGUUUGAGUAUGAUUAUUGUUCGGGUUUGGUUAGUUUUGGAGUGGAGAAUUUGCCUGAGGAGGGGAAGUUCCAUGAGGUUGAGGUAGAUAUAUAGAUAUGAAUGAUCAUUGUUCUGGUUUGGUUAUUUAUGAUUCAUGCUAGUUGUAGUUCUUCUGGCUUUAGAAUUAACCAAUUGUACGACCUGUAAAAAAACUUGGGGAGAAAGGGAUUUGAAUUUAUAAAGAAAAUCUGUUGAGAAACAAGGUGGACAAUCG
rnacentral:lncRNA from 1 species